rnacentral:rRNA from 1 species
ACGUACGCUGGCGGCACGCCUAACACAUGCAAGUCGAACGAAGUAGCAAUACUUAGUGGCAGACGGGUGAGUAACAUGUAGGUAUCUGCCCUUUGGCCUGGAAUAACACGAGGAAACUUGUGCUAAUACCGGAUAAGUCUUUACGGAGAAAGCUUUAUGCACCAUUGGAUGAGCCUGCACUUGAUUAGUUUGUUGGUGGGGUAAUGGCCUACCAAGACUGUGAUCAAUAGCUGAUUUGAGAGGAUGAUCAGCCACAUUGGGACUGAGACACGGCCCAAACUCCUACGGGAGGCAGCAGUGGGGAAUCUUGCACAAUGGAGGAAACUCUGAUGCAGCGAUGCCGCGUGAGUGAAGAAGGCCCUUGGGUUGUAAAGCUCUUUCGUCGGGGAAGAAAAUGACUGUACCCGAAUAAGAAGGUCCGGCUAACUUCGUGCCAGCAGCCGCGGUAAUACGAAGGGACCUAGCGUAGUUCGGAAUUACUGGGCUUAAAGAGUUCGUAGGUGGUUGAAAUAGUUGGUGGUGAAAUCCCAGAGCUUAACUCUGGAACUGCCAUCAAAACUUUUCAGCUAGAGUAUGAUAGAGGAAAGCAGAAUUUCUAGUGUAGAGGUGAAAUUCGUAGAUAUUAGAAAGAAUACCAAUUGCGAAGGCAGCUUUCUGGAUCAUUACUGACACUGAGGAACGAAAGCAUGGGUAGCGAAGAGGAUUAGAUACCCUCGUAGUCCAUGCCGUAAACGAUGUGUGUUAGACGUUGGAAAUUUAUUUUCAGUGUCGCAGGGAAACCGAUAAACACACCGCCUGGGGAGUACGACCGCAAGGUUAAAACUCAAAUGAAUUGACGGGGACCCGCACAAGUAGUGGAGCAUGUGGUUUAAUUCGAAGAUACGCGCAGAACCUUACCAACACUUGACAUGUUCGUCGCGACUCUAAGAGAUUAGAGUUUUCGGUUCGGCCGGACGAAACACAGGUGCUGCAUGGCUGUCGUCAGCUCGUGUCGUGAGAUGUUGGGUUAAGUCCCGCAACGAGCGCAACCCUCACUUUUAGUUGCCAUCAUUAAGUUGGGCACUCUGAAAGAACUGCCAGUGAUAAGCUGGAGGAAGGUGGGGAUGACGUCAAGUCCUCAUGGCCCUUACGUGUUGGGCUACACACGUGCUACAAUGGUAUCUACAACAGGAAGCAAGACUGCGAAGUUAAGCAAAUCCCUAAAAGAUACCUCAGUUCGGAUUGCACUCUGCAACUCGAGUGCAUGAAGCUGGAAUUACUAGUAAUCGUGGAUCAGCGUGCCACGGUGAAUGCGUUCCCGGGUCUUGUACUCACCGC